AGUGAACGCUGGCGGUAGGCCUAACACAUGCAAGUCGAACGGCAGCACAGUAAGAGCUUGCUCUUACGGGUGGCGAGUGGCGGACGGGUGAGGAAUACAUCGGCAUCUACUUUUUCGUGGGGGAUAACGUAGGGAAACUUACGCUAAUACCGCAUACGACCUACGGGUGAAAGCAGGGGAUCUUCGGACCUUGCGCGAUUGAAUGAGCCGAUGUCGGAUUAGCUAGUUGGCGGGGUAAAGGCCCACCAAGGCGGCGAUCCGUAGCUGGUCUGAGAGGAUGAUCAGCCACACUGGAACUGAGACACGGUCCAGACUCCUACGGGAGGCAGCAGUGGGGAAUAUUGGACAAUGGGCGCAAGCCUGAUCCAGCCAUACCGCGUGGGUGAAGAAGGCCUUCGGGUUGUAAAGCCCUUUUGUUGGGAAAGAAAAGCAUCAGGUUAAUACCCCGCUGUUCUGACGGUACCCAAAGAAUAAGCACCGGCUAACUUCGU
rnacentral:rRNA from 1 species